rnacentral:rRNA from 1 species
AAUGGGCGAAGCUGACGGAGCACGCCGCGUGAGGGAGGAAGGUCUGUGGAUUGUAAACCUCUUUUGUUAGGGAAGAAGUUCUGACGGUACCUAACGAAUAAGCAUCGGCUAACUCCGUGCCAGCAGCCGCGGUAAGACGGAGGAUGCAAGCGUUAUCCGGAAUUAUUGGGCGUAAAGCGUCCGUAGGCGGUUUUUCAAGUCUGUUGUUAAAGACUGGGGCUCAACCCUGGAUAGGCGAUGGAAACUGAGAGACUAGAGUGCGGUAGGGGUAGAGGGAAUUCCUAGUGUAGCGGUGAAAUGCGUAGAUAUUAGGAAGAACACCAGUGGCGAAGGCGCUCUACUGGGCCGCAACUGACGCUGAUGGACGAAAGCUAGGGGAGCGAAUGGGAUUAGAUACCCCCGGUAGUCAAA